rnacentral:tRNA from 1 species
GCCCUGGUGGUGCAACGGUUCAGCACUUGGCUGCUAACUGAAAGGUUGGUGGUUGGAACCCACCCCGUGGCU